rnacentral:misc_RNA from 1 species
GAUGAAGAACGCAGCGAAAUGCGAUAAGUAGUGUGAAUUGCAGAAUUCAGUGAAUCAUCGAAUCUUUGAACGCACAUUGCGCCCCUUGGUAUUCCAUGGGGCAUGCCUGUUCGAGCGUCAUUUGUACCUUCAAGCUCUGCUUGGUGUUGGGUGUUUGUCUCGCCUCUGCGCGCAGACUCGCCUCAAAACGAUUGGCAGCCGGCGUAUUGAUUUCGGAGCGCAGUACAUCUCGCGCUUUGACAACAAAACGACGACGUCCAAAAAGUACAUUUUUUACACUCUUGACCUCGGAUCAGGUAGGGAUACCCGCUGAACUUAAGCAUAUCAAUAGCGGAGGA